rnacentral:rRNA from 1 species
CCUACGGGAGGCAGCAGUGAGGAAUAUUGGUCAAUGGACGAGAGUCUGAACCAGCCAAGUAGCGUGAAGGAUGACUGCCCUAUGGGUUGUAAACUUCUUUUAUAAAGGAAUAAAACGAGGCACGUGUGCCUUUUUGCAUGUACUUUAUGAAUAAGGAUCGGCUAACUCCGUGCCAGCAGCCGCGGUAAUACGGAGGAUCCGAGCGUUAUCCGGAUUUCUUGGGUUUAAAGGGAGCGUAGAUGGGUUGUUAAGUCAGUUGUGAAAGUUUGCGGCUCAACCGUAAAAUUGCAAUUGAUACUGGCAGUCUUGAGUACAGUGGAGGUAGGCGGAAUUCGUGGUGUAGCGGUGAAAUGCUUAGAUAUCACGAAGAACCCCGAUUGCGAAGGCAGCUUACUAAACUGUGACUGACAUUGAUGCUCGAAAGUGUGGGUAUCAAACAGGAUUAGAUACCCCAGUAGUC